rnacentral:misc_RNA from 1 species
CAAGUUUCUUCAAGAAGCUUAAACCUGUAAUUAAUUUCAACAAUGAAAACCCAAUUUCACUUGUUGCUUUUCAAGGUUAAUUUUGUUCAACUUACAAAAAGAAUCAGUCAGUUUCUUUUUGUUUUCCACAAGACAACUGAUAACUUUUUCAGUGGCUCAGAUUCUUCCUCUUUGUUCAUCUUUUGCUUUUCUAUUGAUUUUUCUUGGAGGAGUGCAAUCAAUUUAUGUGGUGGAGGUAGAGCUUAUCAUUCUUUUAUUAUUUACUGAGAUGGCUUGACGAAAUGCAGAUAGCAGGCCCAAGCUGAUUGCUG